rnacentral:rRNA from 1 species
UACGUAGGGACCAAGCGUUGUCCGGAAUUAUUGGGCGUAAAGAGCUCGUAGGCGGUUUGUUGCGUCGGCUGUGAAAUCCCGAGGCUCAACCUCGGGUCUGCAGUCGAUACGAGCAAACUAGAGUGUUGCAGGGGAGACUGGGAAUUCCUGGUGUAGCGGUGAAAUGCGCAGAUAUCAGGAGGAACACCGGUGGCGAAGGCGGGUCACUGGGCAACAACUGACGCUGGAGGAGCGAAAGCGUGGGGGAGCGAACAGG